GUAGUUAGCCGGGGCUUUCUUACAGGGUACCGUCACUUCUUCGUCCCCUGCGACAGAGGUUUACAAUCCGAAAACCUUCUUCCCUCACGCGGCGUUGCUGGGUCAGGCUUGCGCCCAUUGCCCAAUAUUCCCCACUGCUGCCUCCCGUAGGAGUCUGGACCGUGUCUCAGUUCCAGUGUGGCCGAUCAGCCUCUCAGCUCGGCUACCCAUCGUCGGCUUGGUGGGCUGUUAUCUCACCAACUAGCUAAUUGGACGCGAGUCCAUCUCAGAGCGAUAAAUCUUUUCCCGCUGUGCCAUGCGGCACUGUGGGCUUAUGCGGUAUUAGCAGUCGUUUCCAACUGUUGUCCCCACUCUGAGGCAGGUUACCUCACGCGUUACUCACCCGUUCGCCACUAACUACCCGUAAUCCAUCCGAAACUUCAUUCGGAUUAGUUCCGUUCGACUUGCAUGUGUUAGGCGCGCCGCCAGCGUUCGUCCUAAGCCAUAAUCAAACUCUGA
rnacentral:rRNA from 1 species